rnacentral:rRNA from 1 species
AACGAACGCUGGCGGCAUGCCUAACACAUGCAAGUCGAACGAGACCUUCGGGUCUAGUGGCGCACGGGUGCGUAACGCGUGGGAACCUGCCCUUAGGUUCGGAAUAACUCCCCGAAAGGGGUGCUAAUACCGGAUAAUGUCUUCGGACCAAAGAUUUAUCGCCUUUGGAUGGGCCCGCGUUGGAUUAGCUAGUUGGUAGGGUAAAAGCCUACCAAGGCGACGAUCCAUAGCUGGUCUGAGAGGAUGAUCAGCCACACUGGGACUGAGACACGGCCCAGACUCAGAGGGGGGGAAGAGGGGGGGAAUAUUGAACAAGGGGCGAAAGCUGUACCAACCACUGCCGCGGGAGGAUGGAAGGCCUAGGGGUUGAAAAGCUUUUUUACCCGGGAUGAAAAGAACAUACCGGGAAAAAAAACCCCCGCCAACCUCGGUG